rnacentral:rRNA from 1 species
GGCGAACGGGUGAGUAACACGUGGGUGAUCUGCCCUGCACUUCGGGAUAAGCCUGGGAAACUGGGUCUAAUACCGGAUAGGACCAUGCUUUAGUGUGUGUGGUGGAAAGUUUUUCGGUGCAAGAUGAGCCCGCGGCCUAUCAGCUUGUUGGUGGGGUAAUGGCCUACCAAGGCGACGACGGGUAGCCGGCCUGAGAGGGUGUACGGCCACAUUGGGACUGAGACACGGCCCAG